UAGUUUUCCAUUUAAUUUGGUUUUAAUUAGUUGCAAUAAGUAUUAGUUAUAAUAAUUAGUUUAAUUUGAAAUAAUUUGACUAGAAAUUGAUUUAGGUAUUAUUUUUAGUUUCAAUUUAAAAGAAAUUAGAAAAUAUGAAAACAAAAGAGAUGAAUCAUAUUUUGGGCCAAAUCUUAAUAAAAUUCAAGCCCAACACAAUUUCUCUUUUAAACUCAACCCAAAUUAGCUUUUAUCAACCCCAAAUCGGAUCGAUUCAAGCCAACCCAAUACCCAAAUUCACUUCCUGACCUAAAAGACCUAAUACAAUACACACAAUCUAUAGGCAGAGACGCUGGAAGAAGGGCGGGCGGCUGGGCUUCUUCUGAAAGUAUACGCCUGUACACACACACCCCUUCUCACGCCUUCAUCUUCCUCCUUCAGCGUUGCUACACAUACGAGAACCCACUCCCUCGGUCAGCCUUCUCCAACAUCAGCGGCUAUGUGACUUUCACAACUCUCAACCAAGAAACGACCCCUGUUGUCCAACGUCUUCAGCAGUCCCUCCCUGUCGCAGUCACGACAGCUCGCUUCCCUUCUCACGUCAUUGUUUAUGCUUCUUCUCGUUCAUAACAGCUCGCCGGAAAAUGAGCUGAAACGACCUCCAAAAUCAACCUAGACAGCCUGCUUCUGCCCCGUUCUAACGCAGUCGGCGUUCUGUCCGUUUUCGAGUUUGCCGGCGAGUUUUGAUACUCCGUCUGAGGGCUGGUUUAUGGUCUUGUCCGUUCCUGUUUAUUCAAGUUAUUAAAAAUCAAGUUCUUUUGGAUGAAGAAAGGUUGAAGUUUAAAGAGGUCAUGUUCUAACUUUACCUAUUUUUCUAAUGUUCAGAUCUGGUGUCAUGGUUUCUUUUUUUGAAUUGGUUUCCGUCUGCUGCUUGUUUGCGAUUCCUGCUCAGUUUUACUAUAAAUAUAUAGAUGUGGAACUAUAUAACUGAGUUGCUCAAGAUAUAUAUCCAUUUAGGUAGGAUUUUUAUGCGCGUAGAUUGACUUUUUCACAAAUUGAGUUUAGGAAAAUGUCCAUUUUAAAGUUUUAUUUUCUGGUUAUAAAUUAAUAUUUAUGUCGUAUCCUAAUAACUAGUGUCAGCCUACUGUCUAAUGUCCCCAUACAUAUUACUGUUUUUAAAUGAAAUACUACUACCUACAUAUAUGAAAUUUUUUUUUUUUUGCAAACACUCGGUGUCGUCGUUUUGUCUUUAGUGUCAUCACUGUGUAUUGCUAGGAUUGUUCAUUUAUGAGAUGGCCAGUUUUGGUUUCAUGAUGAAUAGUGGCAACAAAUGGAAUUCUUUGAGUAUUCAAACUUUACUUGUGUCAUUAUAUGAUGUCGGGGAGUUUGAGCAUGGUUGCCAGUGAAAUUGGUAUUGAAAGAGUCAUGCUAAUUCUCUUUAAUUAGAUUUUAUAUUUCAUCUACAAUUGACUUCUACAAUCAUGGCCAUCACCUAAUUAAUUUUAAAAUCCUUGAAAAUCGAGGUAUCAUUUAGUAAAUUUCAUGGCCCUCACGAAUUUGAAAACACGUAAAUGCUUUAAGCGCUAUAAUUAAAUAAUUUACUUUCCUAAAUACGAGUGCACAUUUAUGUGACCCAAAUCCAAAUCUCAAUGAAGUUGAAAUGUGUCAAAAUCCACGGGUGAAUUUAUGUGACGUGGUUCGAGGCAUAUUUUAACGACGUUGUAAUUCUCUUUAAAAACAAUAAUAA
rnacentral:lncRNA from 1 species